ACGUGUGCUCUUCCCAUUUGUUGACCUAGUUGAUCUCAGAACUGCCAGCUCUGAAAUUUUAAGAUGACUUUUCAGUCAUGUAGGUUUUACCUUUGAAUCUUAGUUUGGUGUAGAAACCCCACUCAAGGCUAUUAAAAAUGCCAUCUGCAUCAGAUAAACUAUCAGUACCAUUUAGGAGGAAGUAAAUUAAUGGAAUAUAUUUUUUUUUUAUUGGAAAAUAAAGAAGAUGGGAAGGGGCAUGAGAGAAUUGUUGCCUUAUUUUUUUAACCAUUUUGUUUUUUUGCUCUCUCUGAAUCUGAAGAAUUAUAGAAGAUAUUUAUAAAGUACUAGUUAAUCCUUACUCUUCAGUGUUAAAAGCAGCUUAAAUUUUAAUCUUAGCUUUUUUGGCACUGAGCAUAUAUCUUGCAAAUAAGUUCUAAUGCUGUUAUCCGAGAACAAAGAUGCCAUCUGUACUGGAUAGGUCUUUAUUUGUUACAGAUCACUGGAUGCAUAAAAAAUGUGAUUUUUAACUCAGGGUAACUGAAUCCACAAUAUACUAAACAUGCUUUAUGGUGGCUUAUAAUGGGUUUCUAGUUAUGGAAUAAUGUAAUGAUGCUUAAGUAGCAUUAAGUAGCAGCAUUCGUGAGCUGCAUGAAACCUGAGAGAUAUAGCUGAUACCUCAAGGCAAAUUAGACUACUGAUUCUCAGAAAGGUUACUAGAGUCUCCUAACUCCUAAUUUUUCUGAGCCAUUUUUAUCUUUAUGUCAAGGUCAAAUCAUGCCUGUUCACAUACUUCACACCUUUUCAUGUGACGCUACAGAGCCAUACUAUGCCUCCUUCAGUUUAUGGCAUUUGGUCUCAGAGAAACUGAAAAUCUUUUCUGUAAAUACAAGUUACUUAUUGUUUGUAUCAUUUAACUAGAUGCUAAUAAUUUUUAUUGCCCUCUUUGGCUCCAUGGAUUGCAGGAUGAGAACUUUUGUUGGAGAGUAUUGAUUUGUAGCUUAAAUAGAAGUAAAUACUUGUGAGCCCAUGUAUAGAAUAUGUACUUUAACUACCUUAGCUUUAAUCAUUUUUAGAGCUAGAUCAUUUUGUUUCAGAGUACCUAAAGUAUCAGUUAAUGAGGUUUUUCUCCUGAUUUGUCAGUGUAUAGUAAGGAACUUUAAAUUUUUUUUUUAAUGUUUAUUCAUUUUUAAGAGAGAGAGAGAGAGAGCGCGCGAGCAAGCAGGGGAGGGGCAGAGAGA